ACGGAACAGGUGCUUCUCAGGUUUCGAUUUCCACAUGCUAGAACGUUGAUUCACUUCUCAGCUUCAGCAGAAGAGACAAAUAAUGUUUGUAUUGAUCAUGUGCACACGGUACUACACCGGAUUGUCGUGAGAAGAGUUUUUUUUUCUUCAAAAUGUAGUAAUUAGAAAUUUUUAUUAGCAUUUCUAACACAAAAAAGUAAUGGUGUUCAAAAUUGUAUAUCGGAGUCUCGGUGACCAUAUCAAUGUCCAAAAUACCAAAUUCUACGAAUGGACAUAGUAGAAACACUUAUGCUAAUUAAAGUGGAUCUGCUUUACCAAAUUAC
rnacentral:lncRNA from 1 species